rnacentral:rRNA from 1 species
GCACAAGCGGUGGAUCAUGUUGUUUAAUUCGAUGAUACGCGAAGAACCUUACCAGGUCUUGACAUCCCCCGCGAUGCUUUAGAGAUAAAGCGGAGGUAUUCGGGGAGACAGGUGGUGCAUGGUUGUCGUCAGCUCGUGUCGUGAGAUGUUGGGUUAAGUCCCGCAACGAGCGCAACCCCUAUUGCUAGUUACCAUCAUUAAGUUGGGGACUCUAGCGAGACUGCCAGUGAUAAACUGGAGGAAGGUGGGGAUGACGUCAAAUCAUCAUGCCCCUUAUGACCUGGGCUACAAACGUGAUACAAUGGCUGGAACAAAGGGAUGCGAAGCAGUGAUGUGGAGCGAAACCCAUAAAAACAGUCUCAGUUCGGAUUGAAGUCUGCAACUCGACUUCAUGAAGUCGGAAUCGCUAGUAAUCGCGGAUCAGCCAAGCUGCGGUGAAUACGUUCCCGGGCCUU